UACGGAGGGGGCUAGCGUUGUUCGGAAUUACUGGGCGUAAAGCGUACGUAGGCGGCUUUGUAAGUUAGAGGUGAAAGCCCGGGGCUCAACUCCAGAACUGCCUUUUAGACUGCAUCGCUUGAAUCCAGGAGAGGUGAGUGGAAUUCCGAGUGUAGAGGUGAAAUUCGUAGAUAUUCGGAAGAACACCAGUGGCGAAGGCGGCUCACUGGACUGGUAUUGACGCUGAGGUGCGAAAGCGUGGGGAGCAAACAGG
rnacentral:rRNA from 1 species